GGUACUUUCUCGCAUAAAAAAAUAUUAAAACUUAAGAAAGUGAUGUAUUAACAGCACUGAAGCGAGAAUUAAAACAGCUUUUAGCAGCUUUACCGCUACCGCUGCCGCGAAAUGCAUUCUGGGAAACUUGCAUACUGUAUACUGCGGUGCAGUCGGUCUGCUGUAUACUGCAUACUGAAUCCCACAUUCAGUAUGCAGUAUACAGUACAUACUGCGCAGUAUGUAGUCGGCAGUACGGUAGUAUGCAGUUUCGAACAUGGACAUAAUACACGCGUGUAUUAUGUCGUCAUACGUCAACGCCGGUAAAAUUGUCAAAUUAUAUAGUGAGUAUUUAAAAGGUCUACCGUUAAAAUUGACUGAAAACACAAGCAUUUUAAUGUACAUCCCGAUUAUAUAUUAAAUAUAUCUUAAAUAUAUUAUAUACAAAUGUAUAUAUAUACACACCAUUUUCGCGCCACAUCUUACGUCUCUUUGUUGUGUUAGUGUUGAGUGUCAGAGCGAAAGUUAAGCUAGUAUGAACUCCCUUAUAAUGAUUGACGGCUCUGAUGUAUCGGAUAUUGAUAAAACACAAAAAAAUAAAUGGAGAUGGGCAUGGCUGACGGAAACGGGGAACGAUGGCAAGCCUUACGGUUCAUGUAAAAUAUGAGACAAGCUUUGCAAAAAAAAAAUCUUAGUCUAAUUGAAAAGACAACAAAAAAAUUGCAAUAGAUGCAAAAGAACAGCUGUUUAAAAUCCUCCUCC